UACAGAGGGUGCAAGCGUUGUUCGGAAUUAUUGGGCGUAAAGCGCGAGUAGGCGGCCAGGCAAGUUAGGUGUGAAAGCCCUCGCUUAACCGAGGAAGUGCGCCUAAAACUACUUGGCUUGAGUACCGGAGAGGAUGGUGGAAUUCCCGGUGUAGAGGUGAAAUUCGUAGAUAUCGGGAGGAACACCAGCGGCGAAGGCGACCAUCUGGACGGAUACUGACGCUGAGACGCGAAAGCGUGGGGAGCAAACAGG
rnacentral:rRNA from 1 species